UCUUAUUUAAAUGUGCCCAUGCACGUAAGUUAUCAACUUUAUAUCGAAUUCCGUUUGCUCAUUACUACCAUGAUUUAUAACAGCGCUCAGGAGUGCCAACAAAAUAAGACAAAACAAUGGACCAGCAAAAUCAUUGUCUAGAAAUGUAAAAAAGCGGAAAACUUAAUGACAUUGAACAGUUUUCGAUAAUUUGAGACUUUCAAUCAUUAAAAUAAUUAAAUCAAAUUCGGUCUACCAGACAUUGCAAAUACAUAUCAGUUUUUCUAUGUUGUUACGUUUAUAAAAAAAAGCCUUAUACACAUGUCGAGUACCUACAUAUCCAAUUAUAAUCUGAAAGCACCGAAUAAUCCAAGGUAGUAGAAGGAGCAUCAUUCAUCUGCAAACUGAAAUGCUGUAAUAACAGCCAACAUUUUAAACAAUGGAUUGGACAUCAAGGACUUAUUUUGUGGCCACUACGCUCACCGGAUUUAAAUCAACUAGAUUUCUUUUAUUGGGACUGUCUGAAAGGAAAAAUUUACUUACGGCUUGCAGACAUUCGCGAAGAGCUACGGCAAAGGGUUAUUAGAGCAGCGCAGCAAAUCAGUCAAACUCAAUGUCGCUCAAUAAAAAUAUAUUUGGGGCACUUUGAACAUUUACUUUC